ensembl:lncRNA
ACCACGUGAACGUGUUGAUUCCUCAAACAAGUUCUGUUUUUACCAACUUUUAAUUACAUACUAGCACUUGGAUUUAUUUUUUAUUGAUGGUAUUCUGCAUUCACGAGGCAAAGCUGGACUUGUAAAGGUAAUUAGUCGUUUUAUGCGACAAACUUUUUUUUCGACAACCAACAUGUCGAAUAUUUAGCUGCAUUUUCCAACUGCCCUGAGUUUCUUCACGGAUACAGCAGAUUUUUAGACCAAAGUGUUUGAAAGACAAGAUUUGGUGUGCCACGUCUGGUGAUCUGAUAUGGCACAGACUCCAUGGUCACGUGACUGAAGAGGUAAUGAGAUGAAAACAGUGAUCAAAGCCAGCUUGUUUUCAACUCAGAGUUUGAGCAAAAGUGGAACUCUUUCUCUUCUAGAAGAUGUUGAGAUCAUCCUUCAUGCUUAAAUUAUUUGAAGGUCCUGUCAACUGGCAUUACUGGAAGUUGCUGUCCCUAGAAAGUUGACCACAACUAAUGAGUACUUUGAUAGAUGAAAAAUCUGUUAAAUACUGAAACAAAUACCUAACCAUCCAGAUUGUGAUUAUUUAGCUGUCAGCUUUUAAAUUUCGCUCAAAGAUGUUUUAGGCACAAUCAAGAGCCAAGACAAAUAAGAUGUUCAUUGACUUUUUGGGGGGAUUUAUAUGACUUGAAGCUACAACACUGCAAUUUCCAACACCCAGGUUUAAUAUAUUUUGUUAAAAAGUCAUUAAACCCUUAGGACUGCAAGCAGCACAUGGUAAAAAUUUCCUGAUUUGAACCAGUGACUGACUGAUUUCAGCUUUCAGAUUGGGUCUUGUAGUUUGCUAACUUAUCAAAACUUGAUGAUGUGCUCUGUCGACGUGUUGACUUGGUGGAAUACUGGAUGAUGCUGAUUUAGCUUUGCAACCGUU